rnacentral:rRNA from 1 species
UACAGAGGUCCCAAGCGUUGUUCGGAUUCACUGGGCGUAAAGGGUGCGUAGGCGGUCGGGUAAGUCUGAUGUGAAAUCUCACAGCUUAACUGUGAAACUGCAUUGGAUACUAUCCGGCUAGAGGAAUGGAGGGGAGACUGGAAUACUUGGUGUAGCAGUGAAAUGCGUAGAUAUCGGGAGGAACACCUGUGGCGAAAGCGGCUCACUGGACCACAACUGACGCUGAUGCACGAAAGCUAGGGGAGCAAACAGG